UCGGGGUGGGUGGCUCAGCGCUGUAGAGAUCCACGCGCUGCGACGGGCAGGCAAGCCGGGCAGAGCAGGGCCGGGGGCAGUGGGGGCGGUGUUUGGGCAGGCAGAGAUGGCAAUGAUGAGACUCUCUGCUGGCUCUCGGGCACCCUGAUGUGGACAAUCUCCCAGAAUCCUUGAGUCCUUUCCCCGCCCCGUGCGGUUAUUCACCGUCGCGUAUACACAGGUUGAGGGCAACAAACUCCGACACCAUGCACUCUAGUCCUAACGGGGGAAGCGUCGUGUGGGGGGGGGGGGGGUGGGGGGAGGAGAUAGAAAGCAGGCCAGUGCUAGUAAAAGGCAGGGAAUAAGGAAGACGGUGUGACACCCCACGCCCACCCACCCACGUAUCCUCCUAAUGUGUUCUGUCUGUCUGGAACAGAUCUUGGCCCUUUCCAAGCGCUCCCGAUGCCUCAUAUGCCUCUGGCUUCUUUUCGAUCACCACUCUGGGGGCUGAGGCCGUCACAGGUCUUCCCCAGGUCGUAUCCCCUCUCUACCCAGUCAAAGCCCCAUGGAUCCUCCCUCUCCCGGAGAAACCAUGAAGCCAAGAAGAAGCGCCAGCGAGAAAAGCAGGUGGCGCUGGAGGCUGGGGUAGCCCGGAAGAGCAAGUCACCUGCAGAAUCCAGUAAGUCCUGGACUCCUAAGGAGGUGGUGGUGUAUGAAAUUCCCACAGAACGCGGUGAAAAGAAAGAUGUCUCCCGGGUCCUGCCUCCUGCAUACAGCCCUCGAUAUGUUGAGGCUGCCUGGUACUCUUGGUGGGUGCGAGAGGGCUUCUUCAAACCAGAAUAUCAGACCAAGCUGCCCCAGGCCACAGGAGAGACGUUUUCCAUGUGUAUCCCACCUCCCAAUGUCACUGGCUCCCUACAUAUUGGACAUGCACUGACAGUGGCCAUACAGGAUGCCCUGGUGCGCUGGCACCGGAUGUGUGGGGAUCAGGUGCUGUGGGUCCCAGGCUCAGAUCAUGCGGGAAUUGCUACACAAGCUGUGGUGGAGAAGCAACUUUGGAAGGAGCAAGGAGUGAGGAGACAUGAGCUGAGCCGGGAAGACUUCCUUAGGGAGGUGUGGAAGUGGAAGGAGGAGAAAGGUGGAGAGAUCUGUGAGCAGCUCCAAGCUCUGGGGGCCUCCUUGGACUGGGACCGAGAGUGUUUCACUAUGGAUGCUGGCUCCUCAGUGGCCGUGACUGAAGCUUUUGUGCGACUCUAUGAGGCAGGGUUGUUGUAUCGGAACCAGCAGCUUGUCAACUGGUCCUGUGCUUUAAGAUCAGCCAUCUCGGAUAUCGAGGUGGAGAGCCGGCCCCUGCCUGGCCGCACGGAACUUCGUCUGCCUGGCUGCCCCAUCCCUGUGUCUUUUGGCCUCCUUGUUUCUGUGGCCUUCCCUGUGGAUGGAGAACCUGACACAGAGAUCAUAGUAGGAACCACAAGGCCAGAGACAUUGCCUGGAGACGUGGCUGUGGCUGUUCAUCCUGAUGACUCCCGAUACACACAUCUGCAUGGGCGACAGCUUCGUCACCCUUUGACUGGGCAGCUUCUCCCCCUCGUCACAGACUCUGCUGUUCAGCCACACAUGGGCACAGGGGCGGUGAAGGUGACUCCAGCACAUAGUCUUGCUGAUGCUGAGCUGGGAGCCCGACAUGGCUUGAGCCCUCUGAGUGUCAUUGCAGAGGAUGGGACCAUGACUUACCUCUGUGGGGAUUGGCUACAGGGUCUUCAUCGAUUUGUGGCCCGGGAAAAGAUUAUGUCUGCACUGAGGGAACGGGGCCUGUUCCGGGGCCUUCAGAACCACCCUAUGGUGCUUCCUAUUUGCAGCCGUUCUGGGGACGUGGUAGAAUACCUACUGAAGAGCCAGUGGUUUGUCCGCUGCCGGGAGAUGGGGGAUCGAGCUGCCCAGGCUGUGGAGUCAGGAGCUCUGGAGCUCAGUCCCUCCUUCCACCAGAAAAACUGGCAGCACUGGUUUUCCCACAUUGGAGACUGGUGUAUCUCCCGGCAGCUGUGGUGGGGCCAUCAGAUUCCCGCCUACCUGGUUGUAGAAGAGCAAACAAAGGGUGACAGGGAGGACUGUUGGGUGGUUGGGAGGACAGAGGCCGAGGCCAGAAAAAUAGCUUCAGAGCUGACAGGGAGACCAGCGGCAGAGCUGACCCUGCAGAGGGAUCCUGAUGUCCUGGACACAUGGUUCUCUUCAGCUCUUUUCCCCUUUGCUGCCCUGGGCUGGCCCCAAGAGACCCCAGACCUCACUCGUUUCUACCCCCUGUCACUUUUGGAAACUGGUAGUGACCUUCUGUUCUUCUGGGUGGGCCGCAUGGUCAUGUUGGGGACCCAGCUCACAGGGCAGCUCCCCUUCAGCAAGGUGCUUCUUCAUUCCAUGGUUCGGGACAGGCAGGGCCGGAAAAUGAGCAAGUCCCUAGGGAAUGUGUUGGACCCACGAGACAUCAUCAGUGGGGUGGAGCUGCAGGUGCUGCAGGAAAAGCUGAGGGAUGGGAACUUGGACUCUACAGAGCUGGCGAUCGCGGCUGCAGCACAGAGAAAGGACUUCCCUCAUGGGAUCCCUGAGUGUGGGACAGAUGCCCUAAGAUUCACCUUGUGCUCCCAUGGGGCCUUAGGGGGCGACUUGCACCUGUCUGUCUCCGAAGUCCUGAGUUCCCGGCAUUUCUGCAACAAAAUCUGGAAUGCCCUGCGCUUUAUCCUCAAUGCCUUAGGGGAGAAAUUUGUGCCCCAGCCUGCAGAAGAGCUUUCCCCUUCAUCGCCCAUGGAUGCGUGGAUCCUGAGCCGUCUUGCCCAUACUGCCCGGGAGUGUGGGCGAGGCUUCCUUGCCCAAGAGCUCUCACUUGUCACCCAUGCCCUGCACCACUUCUGGCUCCAUAACCUCUGUGAUGUCUACUUGGAGGCUGUGAAGCCGGUGCUGUUGCACUCGCCCCGUCCCCAAGGCCCCCCUCAGGUCCUCUUCUCCUGUGCUGACAUCGGUCUCCGCCUCCUCGCCCCACUGAUGCCCUUCCUGGCUGAAGAGCUCUGGCAGAGGCUGCCCCCCAGGCCUGGAGGCUCCUCUGCCCCUAGCAUCUCUGUUGCCCCCUACCCCACUGCCUGCAGCUUGGAACACUGGCACCAGCCUGAGCUGGAACAGCGCUUCUCCCGGGUCCAAGAGGCCGUGCAGGCACUGAGGGCUCUCCGAGCCAUGUACCAGCUCACAAAGGCCCGGCCCCGAGGGGCUUGUGGACCCCCAGACCCAUCUAUCUCUGCUAGCUGCCCGAAGACACAAGUUGCAAAAGCAGCUUGAUGGCCUCAUGGCCUGGACCCCAUCAGAGCGGGAGACGGAGACUAAAAGGCAGCAGAGGCUUUCUUCCCUCGAGUUGGAAUUGUCGAAGCUGGACAAGGCGGCCUCUCACCUCCGGCAGCUGAUGGAUGCAUGUCCUAACCCCAGAGAGCUCUGAGCUCCAGCUCACUAUAUGGUGGUUUUCUUCUCUUCCUGAUCUGCCUUUGAGGACAGACAGAAUCUAGCAGCUGUCAAGCAUGAUGGAGAUUCUGAGACCUUGUGGCUCACUUCCCAUAUUUCGUAAAUAAGGAAACCGAUUGGUUUGGUCAGUGUCACUGGGUGUCCUCAAGAUACUCACAUUCCUGCCCAGCCUCCCUCUUAUGCAGUCCUACCUGGAAGUUUAGGAAUGAGAUAAACUUGGUCUUUUUAUUCCUC